rnacentral:rRNA from 1 species
CCUACGGGUGGCUGCAGUGAGGAAUAUUGGUCAAUGGUCGGGAGACUGAACCAGCCAAGCCGCGUGAGGGAUGAAGGUACAGAGUAUCGUAAACCUCUUUUGUCAGGGAACAAAGGCGGGGACGUGUCCCCGGAUGAGUGUACCUGAAGAAAAAGCAUCGGCUAACUCCGUGCCAGCAGCCGCGGUAAUACGGAGGAUGCGAGGGUUAUCGGGAUUUAUUGGGUUAAAAGGGGGCGCAGGGGGUAUGUUAAGUCGGCGGUCAAAGCCCGGGGCUCAACCCCGGCCCGCCGUUGAAACUGGCAGUCUAGAGUUGGAGAGAGGUAAGCGGAAUUCGAGGUGAAGCGGUGAAAUGCAUAGAUAUAGCGAAGAACUCCGAUUGCGAAGGCAGCAUGCCGGCUCCACACUGACGCUGAGGCACGAAAGCGUGGGUAUCGAACAGGAUUAGAUACCCUUGUAGUC